GGUUAAGCGACUAAGCGUACACGGUGGAUGCCCUGGCAGUCAGAGGCGAUGAAGGACGUGCUAAUCUGCGAAAAGCGUCGGUAAGGUGAUAUGAACCGUUAUAACCGGCGAUGUCCGAAUGGGGAAACCCAGUGUGAUUCGUCACACUAUCGUUAACUGAAUACAUAGGUUAACGAGGCGAACCGGGGGAACUGAAACAUCUAAGUACCCCGAGGAAAAGAAAUCAACCGAGAUUCCCCCAGUAGCGGCGAGCGAACGGGGAGCAGCCCAGAGUCUGAAUCAGCUUGUGUGUUAGUGGAACGGUCUGGAAAGUCCGACGGUACAGGGUGAUAGUCCCGUACACCAAAAUGCACAGGUUGUGAACUCGAAGAGUAGGGCGGGACACGUGGUAUCCUGUCUGAAUAUGGGGGGACCAUCCUCCAAGGCUAAAUACUCCUGACUGACCGAUAGUGAACCAGUACCGUGAGGGAAAGGCGAAAAGAACCCCGGCGAGGGGAGUGAAAAAGAACCUGAAACCGUGUACGUACAAGCAGUGGGAGCACCUUCGGGUGUGACUGCGUACCUUUUGUAUAAUGGGUCAGCGACUUAUAUUCUGUAGCAAGGUUAACCGUAUAGGGGAGCCGCAGGGAAACCGAGUCUUAACUGGGCGUUAAGUUGCAGGGUAUAGACCCGAAACCCGGUGAUCUAGCCAUGGGCAGGUUGAAGGUUGGGUAACACUAACUGGAGGACCGAACCGACUAAUGUUGAAAAAUUAGCGGAUGACUUGUGGCUGGGGGUGAAAGGCCAAUCAAACCGGGAGAUAGCUGGUUCUCCCCGAAAGCUAUUUAGGUAGCGCCUCGUGAAUUCAUCUUCGGGGGUAGAGCACUGUUUCGGCUAGGGGGUCAUCCCGACUUACCAACCCGAUGCAAACUACGAAUACCGAAGAAUGUUAUCACGGGAGACACACGGCGGGUGCUAACGUCCGUCGUGAAGAGGGAAACAACCCAGACCGCCAGCUAAGGUCCCAAAGUCAUGGUUAAGUGGGAAACGAUGUGGGAAGGCACAGACAGCCAGGAUGUUGGCUUAGAAGCAGCCAUCAUUUAAAGAAAGCGUAAUAGCUCACUGGUCGAGUUGGCCUGCGCGGAAGAUGUAACGGGGCUAAACCAUGCACCGAAGCUGCGGCAGCGACACUAUGUGUUGUUGGGUAGGGGAGCGUUCUGUAAGCCUGCGAAGGUGACCUGUGAGGGUUGCUGGAGGUAUCAGAAGUGCGAAUGCUGACAUAAGUAACGAUAAAGCGGGUGAAAAGCCCGCUCGCCGGAAGACCAAGGGUUCCUGUCCAACGUUAAUCGGGGCAGGGUGAGUCGACCCCUAAGGCGAGGCCGAAAGGCGUAGUCGAUGGGAAACAGGUUAAUAUUCCUGUACUUGGUGUUACUGCGAAGGGGGGACGGAGAAGGCUAUGUUAGCCGGGCGACGGUUGUCCCGGUUUAAGCAUGUAGGCUGAUUGUCCAGGCAAAUCCGGAUAAUCAAGGCUGAGGUGUGAUGACGAGGCACUACGGUGCUGAAGUAACAAAUGCCCUGCUUCCAGGAAAAGCCUCUAAGCAUCAGGUAACAUCAAAUCGUACCCCAAACCGACACAGGUGGUCAGGUAGAGAAUACCAAGGCGCUUGAGAGAACUCGGGUGAAGGAACUAGGCAAAAUGGUGCCGUAACUUCGGGAGAAGGCACGCUGGUGUGUAGGUGAAGCCCCUGCGGGUGGAGCUGAGACCAGUCGAAGAUACCAGCUGGCUGCAACUGUUUAUUAAAAACACAGCACUGUGCAAACACGAAAGUGGACGUAUACGGUGUGACGCCUGCCCGGUGCCGGAAGGUUAAUUGAUGGGGUUAUCCGUAAGGAGAAGCUCUUGAUCGAAGCCCCGGUAAACGGCGGCCGUAACUAUAACGGUCCUAAGGUAGCGAAAUUCCUUGUCGGGUAAGUUCCGACCUGCACGAAUGGCGUAAUGAUGGCCAGGCUGUCUCCACCCGAGACUCAGUGAAAUUGAACUCGCUGUGAAGAUGCAGUGUACCCGCGGCAAGACGGAAAGACCCCGUGAACCUUUACUAUAGCUUGACACUGAACAUUGAGCCUUGAUGUGUAGGAUAGGUGGGAGGCUUUGAAGCGUGGACGCCAGUCUGCGUGGAGCCAACCUUGAAAUACCACCCUUUAAUGUUUGAUGUUCUAACGUUGGCCCCUUACCGGGGUUGCGGACAGUGUCUGGUGGGUAGUUUGACUGGGGCGGUCUCCUCCCAAAGCGUAACGGAGGAGCACGAAGGUUAGCUAAUCCUGGUCGGACAUCAGGAGGUUAGUGCAAUGGCAUAAGCUAGCUUGACUGCGAGCGUGACGGCGCGAGCAGGUGCGAAAGCAGGUCAUAGUGAUCCGGUGGUUCUGAAUGGAAGGGCCAUCGCUCAACGGAUAAAAGGUACUCCGGGGAUAACAGGCUGAUACCGCCCAAGAGUUCAUAUCGACGGCGGUGUUUGGCACCUCGAUGUCGGCUCAUCACAUCCUGGGGCUGAAGUAGGUCCCAAGGGUAUGGCUGUUCGCCAUUUAAAGUGGUACGCGAGCUGGGUUUAGAACGUCGUGAGACAGUUCGGUCCCUAUCUGCCGUGGGCGCUGGAGAAUUGAGGGGGGCUGCUCCUAGUACGAGAGGACCGGAGUGGACGCAUCACUGGUGUUCGGGUUGUCAUGCCAAUGGCACUGCCCGGUAGCUAAAUGCGGAAGAGAUAAGUGCUGAAAGCAUCUAAGCACGAAACUUGCCCCGAGAUGAGUUCUCCCUGAGACUUUAAGUCUCCUGAAGGAACGUUGAAGACGACGACGUUGAUAGGCCGGGUGUGUAAGCGCAGCGAUGCGUUGAGCUAACCGGUACUAAUGAACCGUGAGGCUUAACCUU
rnacentral:rRNA from 1 species